GAUGAACGCUGGCGGCGUGCCUAAUACAUGCAAGUCGAGCGAACAGACGAGGAGCUUGCUCCUCUGACGUUAGCGGCGGACGGGUGAGUAACACGUGGAUAACCUACCUAUAAGACUGGGAUAACUUCGGGAAACCGGAGCUAAUACCGGAUAACAUGUUGAACCGCAUGGUUCAACAGUGAAAGACGGUCUUGCUGUCACUUAUAGAUGGAUCCGCGCCGCAUUAGCUAGUUGGUAAGGUAACGGCUUACCAAGGCAACGAUGCGUAGCCGACCUGAGAGGGUGAUCGGCCACACUGGAACUGAGACACGGUCCAGACUCCUACGGGAGGCAGCAGUAGGGAAUCUUCCGCAAUGGGCGAAAGCCUGACGGAGCAACGCCGCGUGAGUGAAGAAGGUCUUCGGAUCGUAAAACUCUGUUAUUAGGGAAGACCAAAUGUGUAAGUAACUAUGCACGUCUUGACGGUACCUAAUCAGAAAGCCACGGCUAACUACGUG
rnacentral:rRNA from 1 species